rnacentral:rRNA from 1 species
AUUACUAUGGAGAGUUUGAUCCUGGCUCAGGAUGAACGCUAGCGGCAGGCUUAAUACAUGCAAGUCGAGGGGGCAGCAAUGUCACC